AAGUCGUAACAAGGUUUCCGUAGGUGAACCUGCGGAAGGAUCAUUAAAAAAUGAGGUAUUUUAUACCUCUUGUAUUUAAAACCCAACUCUUUUAAAAUAUAUUUUUUUCAAAAAAAAAAAACUUUCAACAAUGGAUCUCUUGGCUCUC
rnacentral:misc_RNA from 1 species